AGAGUUUGAUCCUGGCUCAGAUUGAACGCUGGCGGCAGGCCUAACACAUGCAAGUCGAGCGGUAGCACAGAGAGCUUGCUCUCGGGUGACGAGCGGCGGACGGGUGAGUAAUGUCUGGGAAACUGCCUGAUGGAGGGGGAUAACUACUGGAAACGGUAGCUAAUACCGCAUAAUGUCGCAAGACCAAAGUGGGGGACCUUCGGGCCUCAUGCCAUCAGAUGUGCCCAGAUGAGAUUAGCUAGUAGGUGGGGUAACGGCUCACCUAGGCGACGAUCCCUAGCUGGUCUGAGAGGAUGACCAGCCACACUGGAACUGAGACACGGUCCAGACUCCUACGGGAGGCAGCAGUGGGGAAUAUUGCACAAUGGGCGCAAGCCUGAUGCAGCCAUGCCGCGUGUGUGAAGAAGGCCUUCGGGUUGUAAAGCACUUUCAGCGGGGAGGAAGGCGUUAAGGUUAAUAACCUUGGCGAUUGACGUUACCCGCAGAAGAAGCACCGGCUAACUCCGUGCCAGCGGCCGCGGUAAUACGGAGGGUGCAAGCGUUAAUCGGAAUUACUGGGCGUAAAGCGCACGCAGGCGGUCUGUCAAGUCGGAUGUGAAAUCCCCGGGCUCAACCUGGGAACUGCAUUCGAAACUGGCAGGCUAGAGUCUUGUAGAGGGGGGUAGAAUUCCAGGUGUAGCGGUGAAAUGCGUAGAGAUCUGGAGGAAUACCGGUGGCGAAGGCGGCCCCCUGGACAAAGACUGACGCUCAGGUGCGAAAGCGUGGGGAGCAAACAGGAUUAGAUACCCUGGUAGUCCACGCCGUAAACGAUGUCGAUUUGGAGGUUGUGCCCUUGAGGCGUGGCUUCCGGAGCUAACGCGUUAAAUCGACCGCCUGGGGAGUACGGCCGCAAGGUUAAAACUCAAAUGAAUUGACGGGGGCCCGCACAAGCGGUGGAGCAUGUGGUUUAAUUCGAUGCAACGCGAAGAACCUUACCUGGUCUUGACAUCCUCAGAACUUUCCAGAGAUGGAUUGGUGCCUUCGGGAACUGUGAGACAGGUGCUGCAUGGCUGUCGUCAGCUCGUGUUGUGAAAUGUUGGGUUAAGUCCCGCAACGAGCGCAACCCUUAUCCUUUGUUGCCAGCGGUCCGGCCGGGAACUCAAAGGAGACUGCCAGUGAUAAACUGGAGGAAGGUGGGGAUGACGUCAAGUCAUCAUGGCCCUUACGACCAGGGCUACACACGUGCUACAAUGGCAUAUACAAAGAGAAGCGACCUCGCGAGAGCAAGCGGACCUCAUAAAGUAUGUCGUAGUCCGGAUUGGAGUCUGCAACUCGACUCCAUGAAGUCGGAAUCGCUAGUAAUCGUAGAUCAGAAUGCUACGGUGAAUACGUUCCCGGGCCUUGUACACACCGCCCGUCACACCAUGGGAGUGGGUUGCAA
rnacentral:rRNA from 1 species